GAAUGUGGGGUGGUAGUUUGGAAAACCACAGGAGAUCCAGGAUUUUCGGAAAAUGGUACUUGACACUU
rnacentral:tRNA from 1 species